GGGGGCGGGGGGGUGCCUACCAUGCACGUCGAACGGAGUCAUUAAGGAAAACUCUUCGGAGUCGGAAUUCUUGACCUAUUGGCGGACGGGUGAGUAACGCGUGAGCAAUCUGCCCCUGGAUGUGGGAUAACAGCCGGAAACGGCUGCUAAUACCGCAUAACGCAUUCUGGCCGCAUGACCGGGAUGCCAACCAUUUAUCGUCCAAAGAUGAGCUCGCGUCUGAUUAGCUGGUUGGCGGGGUAACGGCCCACCAAGGCGACGAUCAGUAGCCGGACUGAGAGGUUGAACGGCCACAUUGGGACUGAGACACGGCCCAGACUCCUACGGGAGGCAGCAGUGGGGAAUAUUGCGCAAUGGGGGCAACCCUGACGCAGCAACGCCGCGUGAUUGAAGAAGGCCUUCGGGUUGUAAAGAUCUUUAAACAGGGACGAAGAAAUGACGGUACCUGAAGAAUAAGCUCCGGCUAACUACGUGCCAGCAGCCGCGGUAAUACGUAGGGAGCAAGCGUUAUCCGGAUUUACUGGGUGUAAAGGGCGUGUAGGCGGGCCUGUAAGUCAGAAGUGAAAUCUGGGGGCUUAACCCCCAAACUGCUUUUGAAACUGCGGGUCUUGAGUGAUGGAGAGGCAGGCGGAAUUCCCAGUGUAGCGGUGAAAUGCGUAGAUAUUGGGAGGAACACCAGUGGCGAAGGCGGCCUGCUGGACAUUAACUGACGCUGAGGCGCGAAAGCGUGCGGAGCAAACAGGAUUAAAUACCCUGGUAGUCCCCGCCGUAAACGAUGGAUACUAUGUGUGGGAGGAAUU
rnacentral:rRNA from 1 species